AUGGCCUCCGAGGCGGCGAAGGUGCCGGUGCCGCAGACGGUGAACUUCAAGAGGAAGAGGGGAGAGCUCUGGGUCGCCGCAAAGAAGAAGAAGGUCGCCGACAAGAAGAAGAAGGAUGCAGAGAACACCAAGGACAAGGAGCUGGUGCAACUUAAGAGUGAGGCCCAGAUGAAGGGUGGGUUCUAUGUCAGUCCCGAGGCCAAGCUGUUGUUUGUCGUCCGUAUCCGUGGUAUCAAUGCUAUGCACCCAAAGACCAAGAAGAUCUUGCAGCUUUUGCCUCUUGUUUACCUUAAAUGCAACUAUUGUGAACCCAAUUUAGAAAAAAAGAAAAAAAUGAAACUGUUGAGACAAAAAGGCCAUGGGCCAAAAAUAAAAAGGCUGCAAUGUUGGACGUAUUUUGGUCAUAAACGUCUUCGACCAUUCCAGAAGAAAGGUCGCUUUAGUCAGUUUAUGAUGGCCAACUUUUGA
rnacentral:rRNA from 1 species